rnacentral:piRNA from 1 species
UAGAUAUGUCUUGCACACAUAAGCAAUAAA